UCCAGGUUGGAAAAUGAGAGAAAGUGCCUGGGGUCAAUGUGCAUGGGCCUCGCUAGGACUUGGAGGAGGAAAAGCACAAUCAGGACCUAAUGAGCCUGGGCCUCCUGCCAAGGCUGGCCAGGCUACAAGAACAGGAUUGGGCUUCUCCUCAGGGAAUAUGAGCAUAUAAGUCACCAGCUGACAGGGCCCUGUUCCCUGACUCAGCACACAGAAUAUAGGGACCACCAGGGGAGCGUCCAUGGGGUUUAUAUAGCAACAACAAAUAAACAGCACCAGCACUUUAGAGUUUACAAAUAACUUUCAUCUUCUUUUGUUUUCAUUUUUAUUCCAUGGACUCUUCACAUUUCCAACCAUGGGUAAACUCUUAAGAGAAAUAAUGCCUGAAAUACUGUUUAAUUUCCAAGUUGCAAGGGAAAGAUUCAGUAAGGUGUUCUACAUAUAAUCACGUGAGACCUGGGUUCUGAGGAAGUAAGUGGUCAGCACACACUGGGGACUUGCUGCACUGGUGGGCUCACUCAAUAGGCUCAGUUUCGUUCUAUACCCUUGCGGCUAUUCAGAGAGCUAGAAUGUUCCACCACGUAUAGAGAAGAGCAUGUGCAGGCUAGUCCUACUCGAAGUAUGGCAAAAACCUGCCAGAUGGGACUGGGCAAACCUUGCUGUCUACAAGCCUUCCUUCCUCUCUCAGGUGGACACGUGACAUUUCCAGAAGAAAAGAACACUGUUCAUCCAUUUUCCAAUCUAGUAAGGCUGACAUUCCCAAAUAGCUCAAGUAAACCCACAUUUGGCCUCAAAGCCCUGGAGAUGGAGACAUGAAGGGUGGGGACUGAAGUGUCCUUACCCAACAACACACCAUGAAACAGAGAUCUCCCCAGCCCUUCAUUUUUGUCCUUUGGCCUUUGAAGAGUAAAAUACCUGUUGAGUAAGCCAUAUCCAUUUUAUGUUCUUUGAACCCCCUCCCUGAAUGGGUUCCAAGAUGCAAUUUGCCAUUGCUGACCUGCACCCUUCUUAAUUAGAAACGAUCAUAUCAUUGUAUUUUCAGAAUUGUACUGUAACAUCAGAACAAUGAAAACAAUUACAGAACCUGAGAUAUGGAAGCAACUUUUGAGAUCGUUGAGCUCAAUCUCCUCAUUUUCUAGAUUGAAAAUGAGUGCAGUCCAGUGAGGUGAAGAGGUUUACUGAAGUCACAGGCUAUGCAGAAAAAGCUGGGACUAUGAUCUAGAUAUCUUGAUUCCAAGAGUCCUAACAGACAAAUUUGUUUCUUUUUUUAUACAAAAUCCAAACUAUUUAGCAUUCCCAGAGCAUUCCAAAUGGGUGAACAAUAGCAGAGAACUCAGUGUGAUCCAAAGCAAGGAUCUUCAAGAGUAUUUUUGGCUUUUAAUCUGUUAGCCAUAAGGAAUAUUGAAUUUAGCAAAGUACAUCGAAGUUUUCUAGGCAGCAUGUUAAGAACAGCUGAAACCAAUUAAAUGCUAAUCUGUCUGAUGCAGAGUGGAAAAAAUGUUCCAGAGGUCUCUCCACCCUGAGAUGUUCUUGGCAAUGAGUUUCUGUGCUGUGGGCCCCCUCCCAUCUCUCUUAGUCAUAUACGCUCAGGAAGAGAAGACCCGGCCAACUCCCUUUAAAUCUAAGAAGAGAACAGAACCAGCCCAAACUUUCCUCUUGAAAUAAAAGUGCAUCCUAGGAAGAGAAGGUUGUAGACUCUGGGACAACGUACAGCUCAGUUGUGAGAAUACAAGAGACUGAAAAAUGCAGUGAAGUCCAGCCACAUCAGUCAGUCCUCUGUGGUCACUUCAUAGACUGAUUAAGCAUCUCUGUUUCCUUAUCUCCUAACACUACUUUCCCCAGAAUCCCACCUUCUUCCAUGAGAGAUAGGUAGCAAAGCAGAUUUUCAAAUCCAACAAACUGAAUUUGGGCUUUGCAAUUAUUAGAUGUGGUCUUAGGCAAGCUAUUUAACUUCUCUAAACCUCAAUUUACUUACUUGUUAAAAGGGAGUAAUAAUACCAACCUUUAAAAAUUAAAUGA